rnacentral:rRNA from 1 species
AGAACCUUACCUGGGCUCGAACGGCUGGUUAACGGCGGUGGAAACAUCGCUACCCCGCAAGGGGGUCCAGUCGAGGUGCUGCAUGGCUGUCGUCAGCUCGUGUCGUGAGAUGUUGGGUUAAGUCCCGCAACGAGCGCAACCCUUGUCCUGUGUUGCCAUCAUUUAGUUGGGAACUCGCAGGAUACCGCCAGCGAUAAGCUGGAGGAAGGUGGGGAUGACGUCAAGUCCUCAUGGCCUUUAUGUCCAGGGCUACACACGUGCUACAAUGGACGGUACAAUGCGUCCCAAACCCGCGAGGGGGAGGCAAUCGCAAAAAACCGUUCUCAGUUCGGAUUGCAGGCUGCAACUCGCCUGCAUGAAGCUGGAAUCGCUAGUAAUGGCAGAUCAGCACGCUGCCGUGAAUACGUUCCCGGGCCUUGUCACACCGA